rfam:Candidate division WOR-3 bacterium 4484_100 ex4484_100_scaffold_2769, whole genome shotgun sequence.
GGAGAGAUGGCCGAGUGGACGAAGGCGCGCGACUCGAAAUCGUGUAUCCCGAAAGGGAUCGGGGGUUCGAAUCCCUCUCUCUCCG